AACGAACGCUGGCGGCAUGCCUAACACAUGCAAGUCGAACGAGAACUCCGGGUCUUGUGGCGCACGGGUGCGUAACGCGUGGGAACCUGCCCUUAGGUUCGGAAUAACUCCCCGAAAGGGGUGCUAAUACCGGAUAAUGUCUUCGGACCAAAGAUUUAUCGCCUCUGGAUGGGCCCGCGUUGGAUUAGCUAGUUGGUAGGGUAAAAGCCUACCAAGGCGACGAUCCAUAGCUGGUCUGAGAGGAUGAUCAGCCACACUGGGACUGAGACACGGCCCAGACGCCUACGGGAGGCAGCAGGGGUGAAUAAUGGACAAGGGGCGAAAGCCUGAUCCAGCAAUGCCGCGUGAGUGAUGAAGGCCUUAGGGUUGUAAAGCUCUUUUACCCGGGAUGAUAAUGACAGAACCGGGAGAAUAAACUCGGGCUAAUUCGGU
rnacentral:rRNA from 1 species